UACGGAGGAUGCAAGCGUUAUCCGGAAUCACUGGGCGUAAAGCGUCUGCAGGUGGUUUCCUAAGUCCACUGUUAAACCUUGAGGCUCAACCUCAAAUCUGCAUUGGAAACUAGGAGACUUGAGUAUAGUAGGGGUAGAGGGAAUUUCCAGUGGAGCGGUGAAAUGCGUAGAUAUUGGAAAGAACACCGAUGGCGAAGGCACUCUACUGGGCUAUUACUGACACUCAGAGACGAAAGCUAGGGGAGCAAAUGGG
rnacentral:rRNA from 1 species